CCUACGGGUGGCAGCAGUGGGGGAUAUUGCACAAUGGGGGGAACCCUGAUGCAGCGACGCCGCGUGAGCGAUGAAGUAUUUCGGUAUGUAAAGCUCUGUCAGCAGGGAAGAAGAUGACGGUACCUGACUAAGAAGCCCCGGCUAACUACGUGCCAGCAGCCGCGGUAAUACGUAGGGGGCAAGCGUUAUCCGGAUUUACUGGGUGUAAAGGGAGCGUAGACGGCGAUGCAAGCCAGAUGUGAAAGCCCGGGGCCCAACCCCGGGACUGCAUUUGGAACUGUGUGGCUGGAGUGUCGGAGAGGCAGGCGGAAUUCCUGGUGUAGCGGUGAAAUGCGUAGAUAUCAGGAGGAACACCAGUGGCGAAGGCGGCCUGCUGGACGAUGACUGACGUUGAGGCUCGAAAGCGUGGGGAGCAAACAGGAUUAGAUACCCGAGUAGUC
rnacentral:rRNA from 1 species